rnacentral:antisense_RNA from 1 species
UUGGUCAUGGUCAGGCAGAUCAGGCCGCGUCCGUGGGUGGCCAUGAAGUUGAUCGCUUCCGGCGUAAUGUGCUCGGCAGCCAUGAUCA